GGUUGAAUGAUGUGGCACUAUGCAGCAUACAGGGUCUAUAUAAAUCCUUCUGUGGCUAGGGUUUUAGAAGGAAGUUAUUUUAUGCACAAAACCUAAUAGCUGCCACCCCCUCCCUUCUUCUCCACAUCCUCCCUACUCUCCUAUCUCCCCUCUUCACGUCCAAGGAGUUGGACAUUCAUCUAGAGUAAGGAAAAGGCAUGGUGACGCCU
rnacentral:lncRNA from 1 species